rnacentral:ncRNA from 1 species
GCAUAUUUGAGGGGUACAGGUGCCGAUCGGUAAGGAUCCGAUCGGCUGAAAAGGGAAGACCGGUGCAAAUCCGGCGCGGUCCCGCCACUGUGAAUGGGAGCCUCCUGCAACACGCCACUGUCGAAGGACGGGAAGGCGCGGGAGGUGAUGAACAUGAGCCAGGAGACCUGCCUGUAUCCAUGACACGGG